AUAUGAAUCACCUGGAGAUCUUGAUAAAAUACAGAUUCUGAUUCAGUAGGUCAGGGGUAGGACUGGAGAUUCUGCAUUUUAGCAAGCUCCUAGGUGAUUCUGGA
rnacentral:pre_miRNA from 1 species